rnacentral:tRNA from 1 species
GAGGCCGUAGCUCAGUCGGUAGAGCAACGGACUUUUAAUCCGUGGGUCUCGGGUUCAAGUCCCGACGGCCUCA